CAAAAUUCAGCCUAGUUGGAACGAGUGAAAUUGUGCAAGCAUCAAUAGUGCUUCUACAUCCAACCAAACUCAAAAACGGUUUCAGCAGAUCUAACAAACAAGUCUCACAAACCAAAGAUAAUAAACUUCAAAUGCUUCUACAUAAACUUCCUGAGUAGAUCUAACAAAAGUAUCUUAGACAAACGACAUUAGCAGCAACACUGCAGCAGUGUAGCAGAUCUAAAUAUAACAGUAGCACUGUAGCAGCAUUAACAGGCAUAAACACAGUGCAAUAGGAGAAAUAACAGUAGCAGCAUUAAUAGGCAUAAAUACAGUGUGAUCCUAAAAGCUAUCUGAUGAUCAGAGAGUAUAAGAAUCAACAAGCUUUAGGCCUUGCAGCAGCUAAAAGCAAAGUUAGAGUAUAACUAUUUGAGCACUAUUUUCCUUUUGGACUUUCGCAAGAGUAGCAAAAUAAGAAAUUUUAUGAGAUAGUAGCACAGUGCUACUGUAAUUUCUACAAAUUGGAAGAAACAUGUCCUACAAUAUCAGCUGUAAGUUAAUUCCCUGCUUACCUAGCCAGAAUGAAGUCACAGAGUAAAAUAAAAAAGGAGAUACAAACUAACAAGUGUCAUUUCUCAUUUUGUCCUCAUGUGUUGCUGGUAAUUAGCCUUUCAAAAUCACAGCUACACUCUAAAUUCCACCAACCACGUCCACAAACACAUAUUAACUUAUUGCUUAUAUCCAGCACACUCAACAAAUGAACCAUCACGUCAUGUUUAUGAUCCAUGUCCACAGUAACAGAACAAUGAAGAGAAGAUCUUUGAUUAUACCAAACACAACACUAGCUUAUGUUUCACUCUAUCUGCAGCCAAGCAAGUUCUAAAUGAUUAUGGCAGUCAAUGUACACAGUCGUGCUUUUAUAUUAACAAUCAUUAAAAACUUCACCAAAUUCUAAAGAUUUAUGAUUUAAAUAUCAACUUUUCUAAUUGUUUCGGUAUAAAAGCUUUCUACCAUUAUAAUGAUUUUGUGUGAUGCUUAUUACUAGUAGCAAGAAGCUUAUCUGGAUUUCAUUUUUCCACAAAAUCAAGAUUGUUCGUUAUUCAGACAACACCUUAAAGUAUCACUCAAUUAACAAUAUUAAAAAUUUCUUAACAAUACAAAACACCAGUCUGACAUAUCUCUAACCAAAGGGAUCAGAUUUAUACUAGAAACAUACCUUUGAAACUAUCGCAACAACAGUCGAUCUCUUUCUGUAUUUGGUCUUUGUUUGCCCAGGAUUUGUGAAACUAUCGCCUCGCCCUAAGUCGGAAUUGACUUUCUGAGGAGUGAGGAGUGAGGAGUGAGGAGUCAGUACUGACUACUGAGUUCAUUCGUGACUGAGGAGUGAGGAGUGAGGAGAGAGGAGUCGGAAUUGUGAGGAGUGAGGAGUCGGAAUUGUGAGGAGUGAGGAGUCGGAAAUCAGAAUUGUGAGGAGUGAUGAGUGAAGAGUUGGAAAUCGCCAAAUCGGAAUUGUGAGCGCGAAACUCGGAAUUG
rnacentral:lncRNA from 1 species